rnacentral:rRNA from 1 species
AGUGAACGCUGGCGGUAGGCCUAACACAUGCAAGUCGAACGGCAGCACAGGAGAGCUUGCUCUCUAGGUGGCGAGUGGCGGACGGGUGAGGAAUACAUCGGAAUCUGCCCAGUCGUGGGGGAUAACGUAGGGAAACUUACGCUAAUACCGCAUACGACCUUCGGGUGAAAGAGGGGGAUCGCAAGACCUCUCGCGAUUGGAUGAGCCGAUGUCGGAUUAGCUAGUUAGCGGGGUAAUGGCCCACCAAGGCGACGAUCCGUAGCUGGUCUGAGAGGAUGAUCCGCCACACUGGAACUGAGACACGGUCCAGACUUCUACGGGAGGCAGCAGUGGGGAAUAUUGGACAAUGGGCGCAAGCCUGAUCCAGCCAUACCGCGUGGGUGAAGAAGGCCUUCGGGUUGUAAAGCCCUUUUGUUGGGAAAGAAAUCUUUCAGGCUAAUACCCUGGGAGGAUGACGGUACCCAAAGAAUAAGCACCGGCUAACUUCGUG